GAGGGUAUAGCUCAGUAGUAGAGUGCAUGCCUAGCCAGCAUGAGGUCCUGGUUUCAAUCUCCAGCACCUCCA
rnacentral:tRNA from 1 species